rnacentral:rRNA from 1 species
UACGUAGGGUCCGAGCGUUGUCCGGAGUUACUGGGCGUAAAGCGUGCGCAGGCGGUUGUGUAAGACAGAUGUGAAAUCCCCGGGCUUAACCUGGGAACUGCAUUUGUGACUGCACGGCUAGAGUGUGUCAGAGGGGGGUAGAAUUCCACGUGUAGCAGUGAAAUGCGUAGAUAUGUGGAGGAAUACCAAUGGCGAAGGCAGCCCCCUGGGAUAACACUGACGCUCAUGCACGAAAGCGUGGGGAGCAAACAGG